rnacentral:tRNA from 1 species
AGCUUUAUAGUCAAUAAUGAUUUAAGGUUGCAAAUCUUAAGGUGUAAACUUGGUUUACU